UUUUGCCUCCAAUUCAUCCAAUUCUAUAACACAACGUUUUUAUCCUACAACCCCACGUCGUUUCUCUCUUCUUUUUUUAUCCGAACCCCACCUUUCUCUAGGGAGCAACUAAAGGAAAACCCUAAACAGUUUCAGCGCUUUCUCCUCUUCCUCUCCAUCCCGGUGAGGUCGGCGACUCGGCGCGCCCUCUUCCUCUCCAUUGUCGCGUCUCGUCAUCCUGCAGCAUGUUUCAUCUCCUGCUUCCAGUUGCAACAUCCGCGACCACCACCACCAGCUUCCGGUGAGAAGAGCGUCGCCCGUCGACAACCAUCUGUUGAGGCGAUUUUGAUUAGAUGAAUCUUCCUCUGCGGUAAGUGUUUCUCCCAGAUUCAAUUUCUCUUUUCCGACUUUCCCUCUUUGUUCUUGUUUUUUACUUUCAACCUAGGGUGAGGGUUUUGGGACUUGGGCUCCCUGAGUCUCGGUUAUCUAAUCAAUGGCUAUUUAGUUUAGUGCUGAUUUCCAGGAAAGAUAUUCGAAUGCUUAUGGUGCCUCCUGCAUUCGCGGCAAAGUCGUGCUUAUUUUUCAUGGUGUUCGAUAAAAGUACCAAACGAGUUUUGGUAUUAAUUAGCACAAGAAUUGUAAUCUGUGGGAGUCUUAAGUGCUACACCGUAGGAAUCUUUGGUACUAGUUUCAAUUUUGUUGUUUCUACUUUCUCUUCCAGCCAAUUUUUAUGUGCUGUUUCACAAGUUAAAUUAAAGCUUCAAUUGUUGUUUCUUGAAAAAUCAGAAAGGGAGUAAAAUGGCCUCCUAUUCAUAGAGUGGUCAUGAGUGGCAAUGGUACUGGAAUUCUCCUUAUUCGUAUCGACAAAAGGUGCAAUUAAGUUCUUUGAAAUUGGCUUUGUUAGCAAACUCAAUUUAUAUUCUGUUUUUUUAUAGAGCUAUUCAUGUUAAUCUCUGUUUGCAUAUUUGUAAUGCUAUACAUGGCUGACCAGAUAACCCAUCGAGCUUACUGCACUACUUUAUUUAAGUGUUAUUUAGUAAUAUUUUGGAUUCGUCAAUUUAUCCGGUGAUGUUUUUAAACACCCAAUAUGCUUAGGGUGUCUUGGUGUAAAAAGCAAGAUGGUGAAACGAGAGAAAAAGUGACGUGGCUCUGUUUUAGUCUCCCAAAACUCGACUUUAGUCCAGUUAUUUGAAUUGAAGUUGAAUUAUGCUUUUUUACUGUGGGAGGAUUGUAAUAUUGCUUGUGACCUUAUUGCUGCAUAAUGAUAUGUUGCAGGUGGUAGAAGAGAUGGGUUGGUCACAACUUUGCAACCACAAAGUCGGAGGUCAUGGCUGCCAAUGUUCAGAUUUUGUACAGAGACUAUGGACUAUAGUUUGAGUUUUGAGGAAAACACAUUAGUCAUUGUGGCAAAUGCUAGACGAACUUGAGAGGCUAGUUAGCAUAUUUGUCAUUUGUUUUUGCCUAAACAUUGAUCUAGCUAGGCUUUAUGUUUUCGGUUCAAUACUCGGACCAUGUAACAUGUUUGAUUCUUGAAUUUAUGUGUAAAACGCUUUCAGAUUAAUAUAAGUUCAAAUUUUGGCUUUUUCAGUUA